rnacentral:rRNA from 1 species
UACAGAGGGGGCAAGCGUUGUUCGGAAUUACUGGGCGUAAAGGGCGCGUAGGCGGCCUGUUAAGUCGAACGUGAAAUCCCCGGGCUCAACCCGGGAACUGCGUCCGAUACUGGCAGGCUUGAAUUCGGGAGAGGGAUGUGGAAUUCCAGGUGUAGCGGUGAAAUGCGCAGAUAUCAGGAGGAACACCAGCGGCGAAGGCGGCGCUCUGGGCCGGUACUGACACUGAGGAGCGAAAGCGUGGGUAGCAAACAGG